UGAGUUUGUUUUACACAAAUAAACUCUGUUAAAUGGAGCACUGUACCAAUGAACUGGAAGAGGAAAAUAAGUCAUUUAUCGGAUGAACAUGUUUUUUGGAGUGUGAUAAGCCCACAGUGUUGGUCGCGGAGUUGAGUCUGAAAAUAAAUAGACUCAAGCCUUCAAUGAACAGUGGGGGGUCUGCUGCCCGGAGUGAUCUAAGAGCAGAAAAACACCACUGAAACAUGCGUACCAGCCCCAAAUUAAGGUGAUCCGACGACCCGUUUCAUCUCCUCAUCCUCCUGCCAAGACGGCUUUCUCUCUGCACGCCAGAAAGGCAGAAAGCAGCAGUUCUGAAACGCUGCACAUUUCUUGGAAGUCAAAGGAGGCUGGGUCCCAGCCAAGACUUUUUUUUUUCAUCAUCUUAGAAUCUCUGCUACCCAAUGCACUUCGACCUCAGGACGAAGUGACACAGACGGCGAGACGGUAUGCUCUACCGCCAUGUUGUGUGUGGAUGUGUGGAGCUCCAUCUGAGGAGGUAAACGCCGUUGGAAUGAGGGUUAACAGAGGGUUUAGCGUCACUGGCAGUACCACGACGCUGUGUAAUAAAAAGCUCAUUAUAAUGCCCAUGCUCAGCCACGUUUACUAACUAAAAAAGUAGAAACCAUGGGGAUAACACCUCAGUCCUCCCUAGAACCGUAAAUCUAAAGCAUCUUUCUUUAAUCUCAUCGUGUUCAAAUGCAAGCUGAACCCGGGGGGGUUCAAAUAGACCUUAACGAUACAACUUGGUAAAGCCAAUUUUGCACUCAAUUAACCAUGAACUGUACAGUCAGAAGAAAAUCAGGGGAACACUAUUAAUAGUGUAAUGAACACGAACCGAAACAGCAUGGGAGGAACACUUCCAUUUCAAUUCGAUCACAAACCGCCCGUAGGGUUUCCAAGAUAAAACGUUGGUGGAGUGAAUUCAAACCAACGGAAGAUGUUGAAACUAGGAAUGAUUUAGUACACAUUUGAGGCUUGCGCUAUUCCCCCUGCCUCUUGUGGUAUUAUCUUUGUGAAAAGCUGCUAAAACAUUCCAUUAUCAUCUGCCACCAAAGGUCAGCAUUUCACAAUGCCUCGAUAACAUGAUUUCAUGUAUCGUUAUUUUGAGUUUUCUCGUUACAUCACUUGGCCCACACCUAUAAUCACCUUAUUGAAAUGAUUAUUUACAUUCACUCCUCUCUCUGCCUUCAGGGUUCAGUCAGAGGUUGUGAAAAGCUCAGCCUUUGCUUCAAGGUUAUCGCUUUCAUCUUCUGAAUAAUAUUUUGUGAGAUUUUCAGCUGCAGGUAGACGACGGAUGGUAGAUGGUAUCAUCCAUGGGGACAGGAACAGCUAACAGGAAAUGAACAUCUUAUAUCAUCUAUGCUUCUCAUCAUUGUAGAUAUUACAGCUAAUAGUCUACGCAUUUCCAUGCGUCGGCAUACAAGGCUGAAAGGCCUAAUGGUAUUAAGAAAGUCAUAAGGCUUAACAUGGAUUUCCAAUAACAGAGAUAUUUCUGAAAAAAGGUCAACCCAACCGUAAGUUACGUUGAAUUAAUCUUAAGAUGAAUGCAGUAUAGGCUAAAGUGUUAGCACCGUGACACAGUAGUAGCAAAGGCACAUUCGAAAAGAUGUUCCAAGUAAAACGUGUCCUGUUUGGCCUCUACUCCUGUCUUCAACCCAAACUCAGGGACCUACUAAU
ensembl:lncRNA